rnacentral:rRNA from 2 species
AGCGUACACGGUGGAUGCCCUGGCAGUCAGAGGCGAUGAAGGACGUGCUAAUCUGCGAUAAGCGUCGGUAAGGUGAUAUGAACCGUUAUAACCGGCGAUUUCCGAAUGGGGAAACCCAGUGUGUUUCGACACACUAUCAUUAACUGAAUCCAUAGGUUAAUGAGGCGAACCGGGGGAACUGAAACAUCUAAGUACCCCGAGGAAAAGAAAUCAACCGAGAUUCCCCCAGUAGCGGCGAGCGAACGGGGAGGAGCCCAGAGCCUGAAUCAGUGUGUGUGUUAGUGGAAGCGUCUGGAAAGGCGCGCGAUACAGGGUGACAGCCCCGUACACAAAAAUGCACAUGCUGUGAGCUCGAUGAGUAGGGCGGGACACGUGGUAUCCUGUCUGAAUAUGGGGGGACCAUCCUCCAAGGCUAAAUACUCCUGACUGACCGAUAGUGAACCAGUACCGUGAGGGAAAGGCGAAAAGAACCCCGGCGAGGGGAGUGAAAAAGAACCUGAAACCGUGUACGUACAAGCAGUGGGAGCACAGAGCAAUCUGUGUGACUGCGUACCUUUUGUAUAAUGGGUCAGCGACUUAUAUUCUGUAGCAAGGUUAACCGAAUAGGGGAGCCGAAGGGAAACCGAGUCUUAACUGGGCGUUAAGUUGCAGGGUAUAGACCCGAAACCCGGUGAUCUAGCCAUGGGCAGGUUGAAGGUUGGGUAACACUAACUGGAGGACCGAACCGACUAAUGUUGAAAAAUUAGCGGAUGACUUGUGGCUGGGGGUGAAAGGCCAAUCAAACCGGGAGAUAGCUGGUUCUCCCCGAAAGCUAUUUAGGUAGCGCCUCGUGAAUUCAUCUCCGGGGGUAGAGCACUGUUUCGGCAAGGGGGUCAUCCCGACUUACCAACCCGAUGCAAACUGCGAAUACCGGAGAAUGUUAUCACGGGAGACACACGGCGGGUGCUAACGUCCGUCGUGAAGAGGGAAACAACCCAGACCGCCAGCUAAGGUCCCAAAGUCAUGGUUAAGUGGGAAACGAUGUGGGAAGGCCCAGACAGCCAGGAUGUUGGCUUAGAAGCAGCCAUCAUUUAAAGAAAGCGUAAUAGCUCACUGGUCGAGUCGGCCUGCGCGGAAGAUGUAACGGGGCUAAACCAUGCACCGAAGCUGCGGCAGCGACACUGUGUGUUGUUGGGUAGGGGAGCGUUCUGUAAGCCUGUGAAGGUGUGCUGUGAGGCAUGCUGGAGGUAUCAGAAGUGCGAAUGCUGACAUAAGUAACGAUAAAGCGGGUGAAAAGCCCGCUCGCCGGAAGACCAAGGGUUCCUGUCCAACGUUAAUCGGGGCAGGGUGAGUCGACCCCUAAGGCGAGGCCGAAAGGCGUAGUCGAUGGGAAACAGGUUAAUAUUCCUGUACUUGGUGUUACUGCGAAGGGGGGACGGAGAAGGCUAUGUUGGCCGGGCGACGGUUGUCCCGGUUUAAGCGUGUAGGCUGGUUUUCCAGGCAAAUCCGGAAAAUCAAGGCUGAGGCGUGAUGACGAGGCACUACGGUGCUGAAGCAACAAAUGCCCUGCUUCCAGGAAAAGCCUCUAAGCAUCAGGUAACAUCAAAUCGUACCCCAAACCGACACAGGUGGUCAGGUAGAGAAUACCAAGGCGCUUGAGAGAACUCGGGUGAAGGAACUAGGCAAAAUGGUGCCGUAACUUCGGGAGAAGGCACGCUGAUAUGUAGGUGAAGUCCCUCGCGGAUGGAGCUGAAAUCAGUCGAAGAUACCAGCUGGCUGCAACUGUUUAUUAAAAACACAGCACUGUGCAAACACGAAAGUGGACGUAUACGGUGUGACGCCUGCCCGGUGCCGGAAGGUUAAUUGAUGGGGUCAGCGCAAGCGAAGCUCUUGAUCGAAGCCCCGGUAAACGGCGGCCGUAACUAUAACGGUCCUAAGGUAGCGAAAUUCCUUGUCGGGUAAGUUCCGACCUGCACGAAUGGCGUAAUGAUGGCCAGGCUGUCUCCACCCGAGACUCAGUGAAAUUGAACUCGCUGUGAAGAUGCAGUGUACCCGCGGCAAGACGGAAAGACCCCGUGAACCUUUACUAUAGCUUGACACUGAACAUUGAGCCUUGAUGUGUAGGAUAGGUGGGAGGCUUUGAAGUGUGGACGCCAGUCUGCAUGGAGCCGACCUUGAAAUACCACCCUUUAAUGUUUGAUGUUCUAACGUGGACCCGUGAUCCGGGUUGCGGACAGUGUCUGGUGGGUAGUUUGACUGGGGCGGUCUCCUCCUAAAGAGUAACGGAGGAGCACGAAGGUUGGCUAAUCCUGGUCGGACAUCAGGAGGUUAGUGCAAUGGCAUAAGCCAGCUUGACUGCGAGCGUGACGGCGCGAGCAGGUGCGAAAGCAGGUCAUAGUGAUCCGGUGGUUCUGAAUGGAAGGGCCAUCGCUCAACGGAUAAAAGGUACUCCGGGGAUAACAGGCUGAUACCGCCCAAGAGUUCAUAUCGACGGCGGUGUUUGGCACCUCGAUGUCGGCUCAUCACAUCCUGGGGCUGAAGUAGGUCCCAAGGGUAUGGCUGUUCGCCAUUUAAAGUGGUACGCGAGCUGGGUUUAGAACGUCGUGAGACAGUUCGGUCCCUAUCUGCCGUGGGCGCUGGAGAACUGAGGGGGGCUGCUCCUAGUACGAGAGGACCGGAGUGGACGCAUCACUGGUGUUCGGGUUGUCAUGCCAAUGGCACUGCCCGGUAGCUAAAUGCGGAAGAGAUAAGUGCUGAAAGCAUCUAAGCACGAAACUUGCCCCGAGAUGAGUUCU